rnacentral:rRNA from 1 species
GAUGAACGCUAGCUACAGGCUUAACACAUGCAAGUCGAGGGGUAGCAGGGUAGCAAUACCGCUGACGACCGGCGCACGGGUGAGUAACACGUAUCCAACCUUCCCAUAACUCGGGGAUAGCCUUUCGAAAGAAAGAUUAAUACCGGAUGGUACUUUUUCAAGGCAUCUUGAGAAAGUUAAAGAUUUAUUGGUUAUGGAUGGGGAUGCGUUCCAUUAGAUAGUUGGUGAGGUAACGGCUCACCAAGUCUUCGAUGGAUAGGGGUUCUGAGAGGAAGGUCACCAACAUUGGUACUGGGACACGGACCAAACUCCUACGGGAGGCAGCAGUGAGGAAUAUUGGUCAAUGGGCGAGAGCCUGAACCAGCCAAGUAGCGUGAAGGAUGAAGGUCCUAUGGAUUGUAAACUUCUUUUAUAGUAGAAUAAAGUGAUCCACGUGUGGAUUUUUGUAUGUAUACUAUGAAUAAGGAUCGGCUAACUCCGUGCCAGCCGCCGCAGUAA